GAAAAAUCUUCGCCUCGAGAUAGCCUUGUGAAAUCUUGCUAAAAUAAUGCUGGUAAAGGAAAUACACGCGGUGGUGCACCGUGAAACGUUAUUUCCGUCGAAAGGGUUCGUGACUGGCUUUUAUUGACCCAUGGGAAUCCCCCAUCCCCCGGAAUCACGGUCCCGUGAAACGAAUCGACUGGUCGGCUGAAUAAACUUCUCCAACCCCCCCUCCGUCGAUACAAGAUUUCCUUCUCGUCGUUACAAGAACGAGCGCCACGUUUCCCUUGUCAAUGAUAUC